CUGCAGUGUACCUAGGACUCCAGUUCAACACUGUGAAGUAUCUGGUUAGUUAAUUAUGAGAGAGCAUGGAGAGGUUGCAAGGUGCCAGGUAACCCAUAUGUAGCUGUAGUACAUACCAUCACGUCAGUAUGACCACAUAUUAUUCUGGCAUAAUUUUUUACACUGGAUGCUCUGAACCCACAUCAUUCUCUAAGGUUACUAGCCUGUGUCAAAAUAGCAACGCAGAACAUCAUGC